rnacentral:rRNA from 1 species
UGAUGCAGCAACGCCGCGUGAGGGAUGACGGCCUUCGGGUUGUAAACCUCUUUUAGUAGGGAAGAAGCGAAAGUGACGGUACCUGCAGAAAAAGCACCGGCUAACUACGUGCCAGCAGCCGCGGUAAUACGUAGGGUGCGAGCGUUGUCCGGAAUUAUUGGGCGUAAAGAGCUCGUAGGCGGUCUGUCGCGUCUGCUGUGAAAACCCGAGGCUCAACCUCGGGCCUGCAGUGGGUACGGGCAGACUAGAGUGCGGUAGGGGAGAUUGGAAUUCCUGGUGUAGCGGUGGAAUGCGCAGAUAUCAGGAGGAACACCGAUGGCGAAGGCAGAUCUCUGGGCCGUAACUGACGCUGAGGAGCGAAAGCGUGGGGAGCGAACAGGAUUAGAUACCCUGGUAGUCCACGCCGUAAACGUUGGGAACUAGAUGUGGGGACCAUUCCACGGUCUCCGUGUCGCAGCUAACGCAUUAAGUUCCCCGCCUGGGGAGUACGGCCGCAAGGCUAAAACUCAAAGGAAUUGACGGGGGCCCGCACAAGCGGCGGAGCAUGCGGAUUAAUUCGAUGCAACGCGAAGAACCUUACCAAGGCUUGACAUAUACGAGAACGGGCUAGAAAUAGUCAACUCUUUGGACACUCGUAAACAGGUGGUGCAUGGUUGUCGUCAGCUCGUGUCGUGAGAUGUUGGGUUAAGUCCCGCAACGAGCGCAACCCUCGUUCUAUGUUGCCAGCGCGUAAUGGCGGGAACUCAUAGGAGACUGCCGGGGUCAACUCGGAGGAAGGUGGGGAUGACGUCAAAUCAUCAUGCCCCUUAUGUCUUGGGCUUCACGCAUGCUACAAUGGCCGGUACAAAGGGCUGCAAUACCGUAAGGUGGAGCGAAUCCCAAAAAGCCGGUCUCAGUUCGGAUUGAGGUCUGCAACUCGACCUCAUGAAGUCGGAGUCGCUAGUAAUCGUGGAUCAGCAACGCCACGGUGAAUACGUUCCCGGGCCUUGUACACACCGCCCGUCAAGUCAUGAAAGUCG